AAAACUUUGGAAGCAGAGUGAGCCCCCAAUGUGCGGGAUAUUAAAAACUCAAAUCUCCUUCCAAUUAAAGAUUGAGAGGGAGCCCCUACCUAUAAUUAAAUAUGGAUAGAAUAUAUGGAACAACGUUAUUCAAGAAGCAUAAAGUAUAUAUAUAUCUUAAAAAUAAAAUCUGAGAGAACUCCCUGAAUAGAUUCAUAUCUGUAUCUCUUUGUAUCUUGGGAUGCUCUCCACCCUCAUCUCUCCUUCCUCC